AGCGAACGCUGGCGGCAUGCCUAACACAUGCAAGUCGAACGAACCUUUCGGUUUUAGUGGCGGACGGGUGCGAAACACGUGGGAACGUGCCUUUAGGUUCGGAAUAACUCAGGGAAACUUGUGCUAAUACCGAAUGUGCCCUCCGGGGGAAAGCUGUAUCGCCUUUAGAGCGGCCCGCGUCUGAUUAGCUAGUUGGUUGAGGUAAUGGCUCACCAAGGCGACGAUCAGUAGCUGGUCUGAGAGGAUGAUCAGCCACAUUGGGACUGAGACACGGCCCAAACUCCUACGGGAGGCAGCAGUGGGGAAUCUUGCGCAAUGGGCGAAAGCCUGACGCAGCCAUGCCGCGUGAAUGAUGAAGGUCUUAGGAUUGUAAAAUUCUUUCACCGGGGACGAUAAUGACGGUACCCGGAGAAGAAGCCCCGGCUAACUUCGUG
rnacentral:rRNA from 1 species